UAUAAACUUGAUUUUCUCCACUUUCUUCCUCCUUCACUUGUUCCUCACAUUUUUCCCCUAAUUCAAAUCAAUUUCCAAUCGAAGAAGGGGCGGAACCCUAGCUCCAUCGCCACUGUUCCGGAUCCCGCCUCUCCUCCCUCUCUCGAAUUCCCCCUCUCUCGCCUCUCUCUAUCUUCUCCUUGCAUUCCCAAUUUGGAGAAAUCAAAAUACGAAGCCAAUCCUCCAUCUGAGAUGAGGGUCUAGACCGGGGGAAGGAAACAGCGUCGCCGUCACCUCAUCUCCGGUGCUCGCACAGGAGCUGCCGGAAUCAGCAGUGCUCGCCGUCGCCUCGCGAGGCUUCAGCCGUCACCGCCGAUUUGCGCUGCUGGUUCGAGACGGCACGGCGUCGCCGCCACCGUCACCAUUCGCCAUUGCCGUUGUGGUUAAUAAACCGCUGCUAUCACAGCAGCCCCGAAACACUCCGGGAGAUAAGUCCUCUUCUCCCUGUUACGUCUUUUUUUCGUUUUUUCAAAUUAGUUACAGGGGGGUUCGGUUCAUGAUGGUCCAAAUGAUGGUGUUCGAUUUGUGUUUAUUGUUGAAAUAUGCUUGCUAUGCCAUAGGAGCUCUAAGUCCUAUCUUAAGGUGCUAUGUUGUAUAUCUGCCAAGCUGCUGUCUUCUUCGUGGAAAAACAGUGGCUCGCUGCUUCUGAUUCUAGUGUUUCUACCUGGGUGACUUGUGAUCGAUGGUGUAUUGUAGUUUAAGAUUACUACUCGUAUUAAGCAUGCUGCCUCUCAUCUGUGAGCAUUUAUUUGUGAGGGUUAACGGUGUUCUCUUAGCCUAACAUAUUGUGAUUUCCUAACAUGAAGUGUCACUACAUGUUAACAUGAUUCAUGAUGGAGUUGGAGACAAGGAAGAAGGUGGUUUACCUUCCUGCGUUGCUCUGUGAAGUUUUGGCUCCCAGGCUUCGGCCUCCCUCUCACUCUCAAUCUUACUAUAAUGCCGGUUAGAACGUGUGUUAAGGCAGUGAGGUUGAAGGGGGGCCACCAUAUAUAUAUAGGCUGGAGUAUCUGGAAAUCUGCAGAGCAGAUUUGGGUGCAGGGUGUAUCUGCUGCACCAGCUGUUUGUUUGAGGGUAAUACUGUGGUGUACUCGUGAAAUCAGAGCAGUUGCUCCCUCAACUGUAACCCCACUGCCGGAGUCCCUCCCUUCCCUUUUUCUUUUGCAGCACCUUUAACCGAAUUGCAUGUGUACAACCAUGAUUGAUUUCCCUGGCAAUGGCAGGUGUAAAACGAGGGUACAAGCUGGUUAGUCUCAGUCUUUCUGAGCCCUUGCAGCCGGCCUAGCUUGCUUCUUUUAGCCCAAGCACUUUCUCAUUUCUGGAAAGGGACAAGAGGCUGACCUCGUCUAGGUGGCCACCUCGUCGGUUCGGCCCAACGGGCCGUCGGAAUCUGGGCCGAAAUCAUGCUAGGAAAAGGGUCGAAGCUAGUAGUUCCAUGACAGCGUUUCUACUUGAUGUCCCCCUUUUUAUAUCAUUUCAACUUGUAUGAAAACAACUAUACUAGUUAGUUAGCGUAUUUCAUUUCCUUUAUCUUCAUUGUCAAUAUUUGUAAACUUAGACUUAGCUUGGAAUAAUAAAAUGUUGUGUUACUCAAGAAAUAAAUAAAAAUUCUUUCAUUAUUUAUCAAA